CUGCCUCCUUGGAAGUAUUGGGAGUGAGUUCUGCCCUUUGGAAUGGGGUCUGUCAGCAGAAGGAGCAGCAACUGCACCUGGAGAUUGCUUCCUUUAGAGCGUGGGGUGAACCCUUGAAACUGGGACUGUGACCUUUCCUGUUUUUGGGGCAUCCUGACCGCAUUGAAGUGCUGGCAGAUGUAAGGGCAGCAUUGAUCUCUGGAGACUGUCUCCUAUGGAGCAGGGGGCUGUUAUGCGCUGCUUCCAACCAUGCAGAGUUGUUUAAGGGCGUUCUGUGCACCCUUAGGUGUAAUAAAUCUUCAUCAUUAUAGAAAGCCAAGGAUUGUCCUCUUCUGGACUGCUGUACUCAGUAUCACCCCAGUGUGAUGAAGUGAAGCCCCUGCUCUGCUGAAUACUGGGACUGGCCCAGAGAGGCUCUGAUGGAUGUGGAUUAUCCUAGCCAGAGUACUUGGUACCAUUGGUGGUGAUCUUGUCCAACUGCCACACAAUGAACAGGAACAUCCACAGCCAGAUCUGGCUGCCCAGAGGCUGACCCAGCCUCACCUUGGAAGGGACGGGGCAUCCAUCACAUGUCUGGGUAACCUGUUCUGCUGUGUCACCACCCUCACUGUACCAGAUUUUCUUUAUAUCUAGGCUAAAUCUUUCCUUGUUCUUCCCUUCAGGUGUUGAAAGGCUGUUACCAGAUCACCUUGGAGCCUUCACUUCUGCAGGCUGAACAGCUCCAGCUCUCUCUCUUUAUAGGAAAGGCGUUCCAUCCCUCAGUUCAUAUUUGUGGCUGUUCUCUGGAUGUUCUCCAACAGCUCCACGUCUGUCCUGCGCUGCGGACAUCCACAUCCAGAUGCAGCACCUCCAGGUGAGGCCUCACAGCGCAGAGCAGAGGGGCAGGACCAGCUCCCUUCGCCUGCUGA